CAAGUCGAACGAACCUUUGGGUUAGUGGCGGACGGGUGAGUAACGCGUGGGAAUCUGCCCUCAGGAGGGGGAUAACGGUUGGAAACGACCGCUAAUACCCCAUAUGCCGAAAGGUGAAAUGAAUUUCGCCUGAGGAUGAGCCCGCGUCUGAUUAGCUAGUUGGUAGGGUAAUGGCUUACCAAGGCUUCGAUCAGUAGCUGGUCUGAGAGGAUGAUCAGCCACACUGGGACUGAGACACGGCCCAGACUCCUACGGGAGGCAGCAGUGGGGAAUUUUCCGCAAUGGGCGAAAGCCUGACGGAGCAACGCCGCGUGAGGGACGAAGGCCUCUGGGCUGUAAACCUCUUUUCUCAAGGAAGAAGAUAUGACGGUACUUGAGGAAUAAGCCACGGCUAAUUCCGUGCCAGCAGCCGCGGUAAUACGGGAGUGGCAAGCGUUAUCCGGAAUUAUUGGGCGUAAAGCGUCCGCAGGCGGCCUUCCAAGUCUGCUGUUAAAGCGUGGAGCUUAACUCCAUUAUGGCAGUGGAAACUGUAAGGCUUGAGUAUGGUA
rnacentral:rRNA from 1 species